rnacentral:tRNA from 1 species
ACGGGUAUAGUUCAAUGGUAGAAUAGAGGUCUCCAAAACCUUCGAUACGGGUUCGAGUCCUGUUACCCGUG